UAAAAAUCAAUAUAGUUCACCUGUAUAAUCGCGGGGAUAUGGCCCGCGAGUAUCUACCAGACUGCCGUAACGAGGUCUGACUACAGGUUUAGGCUUUACAGGU
rnacentral:ncRNA from 2 species